rnacentral:rRNA from 1 species
UGGUGGUUUGAAUUGUCUGGUUGAUUCCGUUAACGAACGAGACCUCGACCUGCUCACUAGUCCGGCCCAUUGCUUCCUGCAAUGGGUACCGGUACUUCUUAGAGGGACUAUCGGUGUGUAGCCGAUGGAAGUUCGAGGCAAUAACA